GUAGAGCUGAAAAGAUAACCUACUAUAUACCUGGAGGUGAAUCAUCACAAAAGGAUGAAGAGAAGGAUACACAUGUUCCUAUGAGCGAUUCUUCACUCCAGAACCAUCAAGAAGUGAGUUAAUUUCUUUCAUUUGUUGAUACUAUUCUGGUAUGUUGGUAGUUCAAUAUUUUUGGUAUAUAAUAUAAAAUGUUUAACAUUGCAUAUUGCAGUUACAAA